rnacentral:rRNA from 1 species
AAAAACAUUGCCUUUAGAUCCUUUAUUAAAGGUUCAUCCUGCCCAGUGAUAAUUUAAACGGCCGCGGUACCCUAACCGUGCAAAGGUAGCAUAAUCAUUUGCCUUUUAAUUGUAGGCUAGUAUGAAUGGAUAAACGUAAUUUUUACUCUAUCAUCCUAAUUAACUAAAAUUUAGACUUUAGGUGAAGAUACCUAAAUUCAUUUGAAAGACAAGAAGACCCUAUAGAGUUUUAGUAAAAGUAUAAACCACUUAAAUCAAUACUUUGGUUGGGGCGACCUAGGAUCAUUAAAAACAUCCUACUUCAAAAUAGAAUAAUAAUUCUCUUUACUGAUCCUAUUAAUUAGAUUAACAGAAUAAACUACCUUAGGGAUAACAGGCUUAUCUUCCUAAAGAGUCCAAAUCAACAGGAAGGUCUGGCACCUCGAUGUUGGCUUAGAGUAACCCACUAAUGCAAACGUUAGUUUAGGUUGGUUUGUUCAACCAUUAAAUCUCUACGUGAUCUGA